ensembl:processed_transcript
GCAGACAGGCAGGCAGCCUGCCGGGAGUCCUGUUGAAGCAUGCACAGAGCACACCUCUACCCGCACCCACCACCAGGACCCCUCGCCGUCACCUCCUUGAACCGGGAGGAUCCAGAGCCUGGACCGGGGUUCCCAGGGGUACUCUGCUCGCCGUGAUCUGGAAAAACAGUUUGCAGAUGCAGCCCAGGUAGCUUUUGCCUGUUUCCUAAGUGGUGACAGUGGGGCAGAGGUGGAGGAAGCAGGGAGAUGGUGUGAAGAAGCCAGCUAGUGGAGCCAGCAGCCCUCAGCUAAGGUAGAAUAACUUGUCAGUCUGUGGUCUGUAUUCACAUCCCAAGCUAAGAAGAGACAGUAGGGAGAGACAGGUUUGCCCUGACUAGAGAGCCUCAGGUCAGGCACAUCUUCAGGUGCAACCAGAUGGCUCUUAUUUGGUGCAAGACUGAGGUGGGAAAGCUUUUAAGGUGUGUGCAUGAGUAUGCAAAGCACAGGCAGAAGCAGAAAGAGGGAUUAAGCUUUUGGGGGUCUAGAGAAGGGGUUGGUUUUUCUGAGACAGACCUGGCUGUCCCCGUACUCACUUUUUAGACCAGGCUGGCCUUGAACUCACAGAGAUCUGUGUGAGUGCUGGGAUUAAAGGUGUGCACCACAGCUGCCCAGCAAAAAGAAUAUUUUAUGCAUAUGACUAUUUUGCCUUGCUUUGGCCAGUAGAAAUGCCAAAGUAAAAGUGCGUUCCUUAGUCCAGAUCUUGGGAGAUGUCAUACACAUGUGCUUGCUCUCUUGGAAUAGACAUUCCAUGAAUGGCUUACAGUGGCUCAGUGAUGCCCUUCCACCAGCUGAUGGUGAUUGUACUAGCCAGCUGUCCAGACACUUGAACUGGUCCAGCACAGAUCAGACAGACCUAUCCCCCCAACACACAGACCCAUGACCCAUAACAAGGGCUUCUUGUUUUAAGCUAGAAUUUAGAUUGAUUUGCUAUGUAACUCACAGCUAACUGAUACAUUUGGUCUACCUGGUCCUGGUUCCUGC